UCUUCUGAACACUAAUAGAAGGUCAAUCCUGCCCAGUGACCAGUUUAAACGGCCGCGGUAUCUUGACCGUGCAAAGGUAGCAUAAUAAUUUGCCUCUUAAUUAGAGGCUAGAAUGAACGGAUAAACGAGGCUACUACUGUCUCCUGAAGAUCGACAUAAAUUAGCCUUCGGGUGAAGAGACCCGAAUAUAUUUAAAAGACAAGAAGACCCUAUUGAGUUUUAUUAGGCCCUCACUCCUGUGAAGUCUUAAUUUUGUUGGGGCGACUAAAGAGAAACUAAAUCCUCUUUAGACAAAAAGAGUCACAUCUCGACAAUAUUUGAACCUCUACUGAUCAACGGAAUAAACUACCAUAGGGAUAACAGGCUUAUCUUCUUAGAGAGCUCAAAUUGAUAAGAAGGUCUGGCACCUCGAUGUUGGCUUAGGGUACCCCUUAAAUGUAGCAGUUUAACAAGGUUAGUUUGUUCAACUAUUAAAACCCUACGUGAUCU
rnacentral:rRNA from 1 species